UGCAGUCGAACGAAGCCUUCGGGCUUAGUGGCGGACGGGUGAGUAACGCGUGGGAACGUGCCCUUUGGUACGGAAUAGCCCUGGGAAACUGGGAGUAAUACCGUAUGUGCCCUUCGGGGGAAAGAUUUAUCGCCAAAGGAUCGGCCCGCGUUGGAUUAGGUAGUUGGUGGGGUAAUGGCCUACCAAGCCGACGAUCCAUAGCUGGUUUGAGAGGAUGAUCAGCCACACUGGGACUGAGACACGGCCCAGACUCCUACGGGAGGCAGCAGUGGGGAAUCUUAGACAAUGGGGGAAACCCUGAUCUAGCCAUGCCGCGUGAUCGAUGAAGGCCUUAGGGUUGUAAAGAUCUUUCAGAUGGGAAGAUAAUGACGGUACCAUCAGAAGAAGCCCCGGCUAACUCCGUGCCAGCAGCCGCGGUAAUACGGAGGGGGCUAGCGUUAUUCGGAAUUACUGGGCGUAAAGCGCACGUAGGCGGAUCAGAAAGUCAGAGGUGAAAUCCCAGGGCUCAACCUUGGAACUGCCUUUGAAACUCCUGAUCUUGAGGUCGAGAGAGGUGAGUGGAAUUCCGAGUGUAGAGGUGAAAUUCGUAGAUAUUCGGAGGAACACCAGUGGCGAAGGCGGCUCACUGGCUCGAUACUGACGCUGAGGUGCGAAAGC
rnacentral:rRNA from 1 species